AGUUGAUCAUGGCUCAGAUUGAACGCUGGCGGCAGGCCUAACACAUGCAAGUCGAGCGGUAGAGAGAAGCUUGCUUCUCUUGAGAGCGGCGGACGGGUGAGUAAUACCUAGGAAUCUGCCUGAUAGUGGGGGAUAACGUUCGGAAACGGACGCUAAUACCGCAUACGUCCUACGGGAGAAAGCAGGGGACCUUCGGGCCUUGCGCUAUAAGAUGAGCCUAGGUCGGAUUAGCUAGUUGGUGAGGUAAUGGCUCACCAAGGCUACGAUCCGUAACUGGUCUGAGAGGAUGAUCAGUCACACUGGAACUGAGACACGGUCCAGACUCCUACGGGAGGCAGCAGUGGGGAAUAUUGGACAAUGGGCGAAAGCCUGAUCCAGCCAUGCCGCGUGUGUGAAGAAGGUCUUCGGAUUGUAAAGCACUUUAAGUUGGGAGGAAGGGCAUUAACCUAAUACGUUAGUGUCUUGACGUUACCGACAGAAUAAGCACCGGCUAACUCUGUG
rnacentral:rRNA from 1 species